rnacentral:tRNA from 1 species
GGCUGCGUGGCAGAGGGGUUAUGCAGCGGCCUGCAAAGCCGUGGACGCCGGUUCAAAUCCGACCGCAGCCUCCA